rnacentral:tRNA from 1 species
GGAGUCUUAGCUCAGUGGUAGAGCGGCUGACUGCAGAUCAGCAGGUCCCGAGUUCGAUUCUCGGAGGCACGA